UGGGGAAUAUUGCACAAUGGGCGAAAGCCUGAUGCAGCAACGCCGCGUGAGCGAAGAAGGCCUUUGGGUUGUAAAGCUCUGUCGGGUAGGAAGAUAAUGACGGUACUACCCGAGGAAGCCCCGGCUAACUACGUGCCAGCAGCCGCGGUAAUACGUAGGGGGCGAGCGUUAUCCGGAAUUACUGGGUGUAAAGGGUGCGUAGGUGGCUGCUUAAGCGUGAGGUGAAAGGCAAUGGCUUAACCAUUGUGAGCCUCGCGAACUGGGUGGCUUGAGUGCAGGUGAGGAAAGCGGAAUUCCUAGUGUAGCGGUGAAAUGCGUAGAUAUUAGGAGGAACACCAGUGGCGAAGGCGGCUUUCUGGACUGCAACUGACACUGAGGCACGAAAGCGUGGGGAGCAAACAGG
rnacentral:rRNA from 1 species